UCCUUCUCCCCGCCCUCCUUCGCUCGGCUGGGAUUUUGCUUUGUUUCUGUGUGGGAAAAUGCUAAACGGCCCUAUGGAGGGACUGACAGAAUGAUGUCAACAACUUCAUAUGUCAAAGAAAUUAGAGAAGCUUCAGAGACUGUUUAUCAACCUUUAAACCCCCACAUGCCAUUUUUUAAAGAACCUCCACUGGCAAUGAGAUUCAUUAAGUCAAAGAACAUUAGAGCUAGAAGAAACUUGGAAAUUAGACCUCCUCCUUUGUUAGACAGUUGGAACAGGAAGCCCAGAAAGGACAGGGGACUCUUCCGCGGUCACAGUGCCUGUCAAGCGCAGUCGGGCUGAUUUCCAGUUUCGACUCAGAGGGAAGCAUCUUAGCGAAAGGGCACCAUGUAUGAAGCUCACAUUCUGCUCUUUAUUACAUGAUCAUUGCGAGACAAGGAGUGAAAACUCAAUGAUUUGAAAUGCCUGGAAUCCUGCCACUUCUAGGCUGGCCCCGAGUGUCCGCAGUGACUGCAGAACCACGGCCAGAGGCACAGGCAGAGCCACCCAUGACUCUCCACCAGCUGCCACAGCUGCGUAGUCUCUGGAGAGUCCCUUACUCCUUGCAACCGUGCUUCUCUCA